GGGGGAAUUUUGGACAAUGGGCGAAAGCCUAAUCCAGCCAUGCCACGUGAGUGAAGAAGGCCUUCAAAUUGUAAAGCUCUUUUAGUCGGAAAGAAAGAGUCGCAAUGAAUAAUUGUGAUUUAUGACGGUACCGACAGAAAAAGCACCGGCUAACUACGUGCCAGCAGCCGCGGUAAUACGUAGGGUGCGAGCGUUAAUCGGAAUUACUGGGCGUAAAGGGUGCGCAGGCGGUUUUGCAAGUCAGAUGUGAAAGCCCCGGGCUUAACCUGGGAAUUGCGUUUGAAACUACAAGGCUAGAGUGCAGCAGAGGGGAGUGGAAUUCCAUGUGUAGCAGUGAAAUGCGUAGAGAUGUGGAAGAACACCGAUGGCGAAGGCAGCUCCCAGUUGUCACUGAGCGCAUGC
rnacentral:rRNA from 1 species